rnacentral:lncRNA from 1 species
CCAGCCUUUGAGUCUGAUAAAUUCCUUGAACUCCAGAUUGUGUUGGGUUUACAUUUCCUCUUUAUGCUAAAGCCAAAGGAAGCAAGCCAACCGUCUGCCACGGAAGUUGGAGGAGAUUUAUUGCUGUUAACCAGGGUGGCUCUCACUGCAAGAGAAGCAUCAAGCUUGCCGGGGAUCUUGGAGUUUCAUUACGGAGUCAUCAGAAUGCUGCAAGAAGGGUCAUGACACCUGGUCCAGUGACACAGAGAGGCUGGUGCCAUGUUCUCAGCAUCCACACUUCUCAUCUCACUCACCUCUCCACAUCCAGAGCCUUGGCACCGAUCCACAGAACAGGAAACAACAGCUGAAGAGUUGCAGAUACAAGGUCCUUCCCAGGCUAAUCCCAGACACCCUGGCCUUGACAGCUCAACCCCAGACAGCCCUGCAAGCCUGUUAGCUUCCUGUAGAGAGGCAAGACAAGCAGGGAGGCAAGAUGAGGGCAUCCCAGGGCUCCCUCCUCCCCUCGGUGGAGCUGUUGCCCAAGGCCUGGGGAUGAUUUGUUUGCCCACAAAUCCAAAUAAGAUGACAAGCAAAUCAUCAGACUGGCUGAGAACGACUCGUUAAUUAGGAAAUAAA